rnacentral:rRNA from 1 species
UACGGAGGGGGCGAGCGUUAUUCGGAAUUAUUGGGCGUAAAGGGCGUGCAGGCGGUCUGUUAAGUGCAGGGUGAAAGCUCCCGGCUCAACUGGGAGAGGUCCUUGCAUACUGGCGGACUUGAGGGGGGUAGAGGAAAGUGGAAUUCCCGGUGUAGUGGUGAUAUGCGUAGAUAUCGGGAGGAACACCUGUGGCGAAGGCGGCUUUCUGGGCCGUACCUGACGCUGAGACGCGAAAGCGUGGGGAGCGAACCGG